AAUAAACCAACUUUUUACUUUUUACCUACAAUUUUUGACUCUUCGUCUUAUUCAAUUUUUUUUGCAAUUGGUAUUUUUGUUUUUAUUAGAUGAUAAAUCAUGAAUAGUACUUUACGUGUGACUAAUUUUUUUCUAAUUUCCUAAAAAAAUUUUAAAUAAGAUAGAUGAUCAAACAUUGGACACGGAAACUGGGG
rnacentral:pre_miRNA from 1 species